GCUUGAGCACGUAGGUGGGUUUGUAAGUCAGGUGUGAAAGCCUUCUGUUCAACGGGAGAAUUGCAUCUGAAACUACGAAUCUUGAGUGUAGGAGGGGAGAAUGGAACUUCUGGUGGAGCGGUGAAAUCCGUAGAUAUCAGAAGGAACGCCGGCGGCGAAAGCGAUUCUCUGGCCUAUUACUGACACUCAGUGUGCGAAAGCUAGGGGAGCAAACGGGAUUAGAUACCCCGGUAGUCCUAGCCGUAAACGAUGGGCACUAAGUAGAGGGGAUUACCAACGUUCUCUCUGCCGUAGCUAACGCAUUAAGUGCCCCGCCUGGGGAGUACGGCCGCAAGGCUAAAACUCAAAAGAAUUGACGGGGGCUCGCACAAGCGGUGGAGCAUGUGGCUUAAUUCGAUGCAACGCGAAGAACCUUACCGGGGCUUGACAUGGUAGAAGUAGGAACCCGAAAGGGUAACGAACGGUAUCCAGUCCGUGACUAUCACAGGUGUUGCAUGGCUGUCGUCAGCUCGUGUCGUGAGACGUUGGGUUAAGUCCCCUAACGAGCGAAACCCUUGUUUUUAGUUACCAGCGGGUUAUGCCGGGUACUCUAGAAAGACUGCCGUCGUCAAGACGGAGGAAGGUGGGGAUGACGUCAAGUCAUCAUGGCCCUUAUGCCCCGGGCUGCACACGUGCUACAAUGGUCGGUACAAACGGAAGCGAAGCCGAGAGGUGAAGCGAAUCCAAGC
rnacentral:rRNA from 1 species